CAUGCGACUGUAUUUAUGUUGCUUAUGUUUUCAUGAGUACUUACAUUAUUAUUGCAGGAGUACCUAUGCUUUAUUAUUUUGUUUUGUUUUGCUUGUGUUCCUAAUUUUACCUUUGUUUUCGUAAUCCAGCUUUCCCUCUUUUUAUCCUACACGCCGAGGGUCGUUUGGAAACAGCCUCUCUGCUCUUACGGGCAGGGGUAAGGCUCGUCUACAU
rnacentral:lncRNA from 1 species